rnacentral:lncRNA from 1 species
CCCUGUCUUUCUCCCCAGAAUCGGGGGAUGGGAGUGUGAUGCUGUACCAAGGCUUGUCUUUUAUAGAGACCAACAUUUGUUCCUAGAAUUUCCUCAUUUCUUCUACGACCCUUCUGGUUCCAAAGAAUUGAACCUGCAACUCUCAGUCCAUGUCAAGCCACCAGGCCACCAGGCACUCUGUGGGACCACCUAGGACCCUGACAAUUUCCAUGGCAAUCUUGGCUGCCCAGGAUUUCUCAGUGGCUCUCAGACUCCACCAGAGCGAGGGACACUCUGUGAGGCAGCUAUGGGCCAGUCUUUGCUGACACAACACCCAGACUUUCACCUCCGAAGUCUGUGUCUCCCAGGGAUCUGAGUUCCCCUCUUAUAUUCAUCAGUUCUGUUUGAGAGUUUAGCAUUUCUUCACCAAGCUUCUUUUUGCAAGGGACCCACAAGUUCUACAGGAAUUUUGUUUCUCUCAGACCCUCUCUUCCUAGCCCAACAGAGAAUCUCAACUAGAUCCCAGAAUGGGAAGGCUUUUCUGACUCAUCAUGCAUUCCUCCAAAUCUAUGGUUUAUGCUUAUGACAGAGGCAGGAGGCAGCCAAGGGUCCCCAGCGAAACCCUGCCUUCAAGCCUAAAACAGCCUGAAGGCUGAAAAACCGGACUUCUGGUCCCGGAUGAAGCCCGCCCCUUCCGGACUGUUUCUUUCUGAAUAACGCCCACCUUUGCACUGGGAGAACGGGGUGGGGCCUCCAGAAGUUCACGCCAUUUGCAGCGGGGAGGAGCCUGUUCCUGUGUGGCGACCUGGGCUUCAAUCUGUGAGGCGGGAAACCUGCUAGCAGGACUCUUGCUUUGUGGUCUCCUGUGAGAAGAACAUACCCCAGGUAGCCUCUUCUUUGAGAAGCACAAGGAAACACGUGGUGGUGGAACUGAACACAACCCACAGCCUGGAGCUAAACCCAACCUAAGCCAGCCAAGCUCUUCCAAGAUCACCCAAACUCAAGUUGACCUGUAGAUCCAUGGGCAAGGAAAGAAAUGCCUGCUGUUUUAAGAUCUCAAGUUUUAGGUUGAUUUGUUAUGCAGCAUUAUUGCAGUAAAAAUGAACUAAUACACUACCUAAUCCCAUUUUUCUAUUCAACAGUUAUUUGUUGGGUAGCUGAUAUGUGCCACACACUUAUAAUACAGGCUUCAGGGAUACCAUGGUUAAUAAAAUAAAGAGGGCAAAAGUAAAUGAACAAGAUAAUUUUGCAUUUUGACAAAUGCUAGGGAUAAGACAAGAUGAGUGAUGUGAUAAAUUGUGGUGGGGCUGUGGAAGAGGGCACAUUUAAUUUGGAUGGUCAGAGAGAGCCUCCUCUGGAAGGAAACAUUUGAAUGAGAUGAAUAACAAGGGCGAGGCUGCUAGAGGAUGAUCCAGCCACAGUGCAUUCCUGCAGAAGAGCCAGGGUGGAGGUCCUACGGUGGAAAUGAGUUUGGCUUAGGAACAGAUUCAAGUAUAUCUCAAAUAACUGAAAACUGUGAAAUUAACAUCAAAAGUAUUUGGAAGGCUAGAAGCUAGGCUGAUAUGUAGAAAUAAAACCCAGCCUCAGGAAGGAGCUGAGCCAGACUCAAAAACAAGGGGGGCAGCAAAGAGUGGUGGAUUCUGGGCUGGCCUUGCUGGCCACUCACUUGUCAGGGUGGGGUGGGUCAGCUGGCUUAAAUGUGCAGCUGGACAGACAGCUGCUGUUUCACUGCAUUGUCUCACUGCAUCUGUCUUCAUUAUCUGCAUCCUAUUUUGUGUUUCUUGGGCCAAUGUUUCCCAUCUCAGCUAGAGAUAUUUUACAUUGUUUUCACUGCAUGCAAAUAAUUUCACAAUUUUCUGUGGAAAGCCUUUGCUCCCUCCUUUCUUGUUUUUUUCCAAUUAUUUUAAUAGAAGUCGUGUGCAUACAUGGUUUAAAGAGUCAAAGAACUCUGUAAGGUUUAUUUUAAAAAACAGCCACUGUUAUGAGCAACACCCCCCUGCUGACAUUUCCCCAUUCCAGAGGCACUUUCAUCUUUUUUACAUGAUUGACAUUUCACCUUCCUGUCUCUAAAUAACAUACUUAAUACUACUUCUUGAUUUGCUAUUUUUAGGUAUUUUGUAUUGAUUUCCCUCAAUUGACUAGGAGGACUUAGCUUUCUUCCUUCUUGCUUCUUUUAUCAAACACCUUUCUAUUCUAUGCUAUCACCGUUCCCUCUUGGUAUAAUGUUAUGAUAAUUUUGCUGAGCUUAAUGUUUCAUUUGUAUUAUUAUGAUCACAUAAAUGCUUUUAAUAGCCAAACCAGAUGGUAAGAUGUAAUGAUAUUUCCUUUCUGUAGUAGGUGGCUUCUAAUAUGGUCCCCAGUGAUCUCUGAUGACUAGUAUUCAAGGCCUUGUGUAUUCCCCUCUCCUUGAGUGUGGACUGGGCUUAUUGACUUGCUUCUAACAAUUAGAAUACAGCGAAAACAAUGGAUGUCACUUCUAAGAUGGGGCUUCAUAAAGACCAGCUAUCAUUUUGGGCACUAUCUUUGGUUUGCUCACUCUUAGUGUGGUAGGUAGAGUUCUAAAGACAUCCCCCCAAAUUCUUACUCCUGGUUAUUCAGUCGAACACUAAUCUCAGUACUGCUAUGAAGGGAUUUUACAGAUGGAACUAAGGUUGUUCAUCAGCUGACCUUGAAAUGGAGGGAUUAUCUUGGAUCAUCCAGAUAGGCCCAAUGUAAUCACAUAUAUCCUUAGAAGCAGAAGAGCAAGGCAGGAGAAUAAGUCAGAAGAAGAAGGCAGGAGCAGGAGACAAGAGGCAGAAAGAGAGGUCAAAGAGAUCAGAAGUGUGAGAAAGCCUCAUUGGCUCAUUGGCUUUGCAGAUGAAGGGGGUUACCAGCCAGGGAAUGUGGGUGACUUCAGAAGCUGGACCCUGGUCAACAGCCAGCACGGACAUGAGGACCUCAGUCUUACAGCCAUGUGGAACUGAAAUCUACCAACCACCUGAAUGAGGCUGGAAGUGGAUUCUCCCCCGGAGCCUCCAGAUCAGAGCCCAGCCUGGCUGACAUUGAUUUCAGCCUUGUGAGAUUCAGAGCAGAGCCUCUGAGCUUACCUGGACUUCUGACCUAUGGAGCUGUGAGAUCAUAAGGGAGUGUUCUUUUAAGCUGCCAAAUUUUGGGGAAUCUGUUAUAGCAUCAGUAGAAAGCAAACACAUGUGGGAAGCCAGCUGUCAAGUUAUGAGCAUACAAAGGAAAUUGGGGAAGUGAUAACGUCAAGCAUUCAUCAUGAUAAGGCUUAUGUUAUUGAAUAAAAUUUUCUGAAAGAAUUACAUGAGCAAGGUCAUUCACUUACCCAACAAGCACUUACUGAGUGCACGCUGGGGACAUGGCCCUGAAUAAGACAGACAACAUUCCCAUUU